rnacentral:rRNA from 1 species
UACGAAGGGGGCUAGCGUUGUUCGGAAUUACUGGGCGUAAAGCGCGCGCAGGCGGUCUUCCAAGUCAGUGGUGAAAGCCCGGAGCUCAACUCCGGAACUGCCAUUGAAACUGUAAGACUUGAGGAUGAGAGAGGUGAGUGGAAUUCCCGGUGUAGAGGUGAAAUUCGUAGAUAUCGGGAGGAACACCGGUGGCGAAGGCGGCGACCUGGGUAGAUACUGACGCUGAGGUGCGAAAGCGUGGGGAGCAAACAGG